AGGUCUCUUGGAAAGACAGGUAGGAUAUGUUGUCCUCUAUGCACGUAGAGCUGGUUUACUUUGUCUGGUAGGAAGGAAAUCCUUAUUAACGCAGAAGAGACAGCUGACUCUUGACAAUCUCAUGGCUUGUCGGCCACACACCAUGAUGCCAAACUGCAGUGGGAGUUCAAUGCUAUUAGGUACAGUGGAUGAAAAUACUCAGUUUCGUGAGUUGUGAAGUUGGAAAAUGAAGUGCUUUUACAACAGGUCAUGAGGUAUCCUACACCCAGUGCCAUGGACCUUCCCCUGCAUUCCGCUGGUGCAAUACACCACUCAAUUGUCAUUGGCUGCUCAUGUGAGUCACGGGACUGUAUAUGUACAUUCAGAAAACACACACUUGUUAUCAGUGUCCCAGAAAAUUCCUACUGUGACCCUUUGCCUUUAGCAAGUUGGAAAAUGUGUAUUUGCAUUCAAUAUAUUUUCAUGUCAGUCGAUAAGUACUUUCUAUUCAGACUGGCUAAUCCUGACUACAUCUUCCAUAUAAAGUGAAACUAAUUUGAGCUCAAUGGAAUGGAAAGUAGGUAUUUUAUAAUUAUUUGCAUUGACUGGAUUUGUCUACAAGGUUGUUAACCAAGGUUAUUGUGCUCUAUCUUCACUUUAUUUGUCUCCAAAUACAGAAAUGAUGGGUAAUGGGUAAAAUAAAGUGUCGAUAUUUCUACAGGACAAAAGGCUUUUUAGGCAAAUGUCACAAUAGUAGUGGCAGUCUUUCCUUCCAUCCAUCCAUCCCUUUUAAAAUUAGAAUUUUUUUCACUGGUUCAGGAUAGCCCUCUAGUGGUGUACAUGCUAUGCUCUCCUUUUAAAUGUAUAGUUAAUUACAGUUACAUUAUAGUUAAUAACCCUACAUAAAUGGUCAUUGGUUUGAACUUAAGGAGUCUGUUGGGCCAUAUGUUGCACAAAUGAAAUACACACAGCUUUAAAAUGAUUUCAUUCUUUAAUGUCAAUUGAAUUUUAGAACUCCCCUGGAGAUACAUACCCCGAAGGGAGCCAGAAAGGAUGCUGAAUGUAUCUUGAGAAUAUAAUACUUAAUAAUGUAAUACUUUAUAAUACUUGAGAAUAUAAGUAGACUGGAAAGUUGUGGAACUGUAUAGCAUGGGAAAAUAAAAAU